rnacentral:rRNA from 1 species
AUGGCUCCCCAAGCUCCGACGUCGGCGGCCGCCCCGACCUCUUGGGAACCUCCUGCCGGUGUCCUCCCUGCUUCAACGACGGCGCCCGCUCCAGCCUUUCGGGCGCCUCCUGCCGGCGCCACCACCGAUACGACGACGGAGGCCACCCCGGCCUCUCUAACUCCUUCUGACGGCACCACCACUGCUACAACGACGGAGGCCACCUCAGCCUGUCUGCCGCUGCCCUCUGUGAACGGCGCAGCCGCGACUUUCCUUGCCUUCCGCAAGGCCGACCCGGCCGUGCGGGGACGCCUGCAACUGCUGCGGCCCUCCACAACCAAGACGCGGGCCAGCUCCGAUCUGAGCCUGGCGACUCCGACGCCUACCACGCCGCCUGUCGCUGCUGCCGAAGACGAUGGUCUUCAUGGAGCUCCCUUUGUUGGCCCCGAUUUAGGUGCAGCCCCCGACGCCGCUGUGCGGACCCGGCAGCCGCCAUUGGCCGUGUCGUGGGCUUCCCUCGCGGACAACGUCUGCAGCAUUGAUGAUGAAGAUGAGCUCGCCUCGCUGACGCCGUUGGCUGCCAGGUGCUCCAGUGGGGUGAGCGAUCCGGCUGCCGCUGCUGUUGUCGCUGCUGCUCCUGAGGCGUCUUUGGACCAGGGAUGGGUGAAGGUGGGGGGCCGGCGUCGUUCGGCGUCGCCGACAUUAGCUCUGGCUCCCCGGCCUAUCCCUGCCUGGCUUCGCGGUCGAUGCUGCAGAUGCCUCGCCCCUGGACACCGGGCGACGGUUUGCAGAGAUCCCUUCCGAUGCUCUCGUUGCUUGGAGAACGGUCAUCGUGCUUGUGACUGCCGCAACCCAUGGCGUUCUCUUAGCUCUCUGGCAUAUCUUGUUGUCCCGCCCGUCUCUCGCCUUGGCAUCCAACAUUGUCAACCUCCUACUCCAAGAGAGGCCCAAUUAAAAUCCACACUCCCUUCCGUUGCGCUUCACCGUGGAUCUUGGGCGUCUGUGGUUUCUGCUUCCGCUAGCCCGGCAUCCCCAUCCAUUGAUGUGCUUCAGACCGCUCUGGCUGAUCAGACCGAGUUGCUUCAGGGUUGGCAGACACGUAUUGAGAGCUUCCUGGAACGGGCUGAGGCUGCUUUGAGCAGGCUCUCCUUUUUGCCGGCUAUGUUUCUGGCCACGCAGACACCACUCCCUCUUGUUGGCUCCACGGAGGACGAAGGGGCAGAUCCUUAUGGUUGUUUCUCCCCUCGUGUUCGGGACAAUUCAUCAUUGAUGUCUGCUUCGUCUGUUGUGCAUGUCGAUGUGGGCGAGUCCAUCGCUGUGCUUGCGACUCCGGUGCUACAGCUCAUGCCCGAGCUUCGGGAUAUAUGUUCGAGCCCUGCUUCGCCUCUGUCCUUGGAGCGGUUGGAAGUGGACUCGUCGACAACCUUGUGUGAGGGGCAUGUUUUGCCUCUGUCGUGUGAGCAACUGGAGGUGCCGAAGUCCAUUGUGUCGAUGGUUCCUGUGGUGGAGGAUGAUGUGUUGGGGGUUCCUCGGGCCGAUGAUGUCGAUGCGGCCGGUUUGUUGGUGCCUGCCCCUAGUAGGAGCCCCUUGGUUGAUGACAACUACAUCAAGAAGUACAAUGAGUUCUAUGAUUUUUUUGACAAAUGGGUGGCGGAUCAGUCUGGACCCGGCAUCACAAGUGGUUGCCUCCCCAAGAAGAAACCCAAUAGGGAGAAAGCAAAGAGAAACAAAAGCAAGAAGGGCGGUGUUAUUCGGAAGACGCCCACGAUUUCAUGA